AUACAGGCUCGGCUCGUUAUUACGUGUGAGUGUCAUGGGAUGAAGUAGGUUCCGGAAGAAGUGAAGGACAAUGCAGGGUCGAUGCAGUGGCGGUGCAGAGGCAGUGCAUGGACGGUGCAGAGUCGUCACGAGUAGAACUUGCGGAGGUGUUGGAUGUUCCAAGCAUUUUGGGUGGGAAAUCCAUCUUGAGUUUCUAGACGCACGGAGCCAGGCCUGGAGACGUGGACGACCUUGAAUGGGCCCUCCUACAUGGGCAAAAGCUUAUGCAAGCCUUCCCUGGAUUGGACCCGCCUCAGGACGAGAUCGUCGACUUCGAGAGUCCUGGAGCGAAUGUUGCGGCAGUGGUAGCGCUGCAAGGCCUGCUAGUACCUCGCGGAUCGGAGAGAGGCCCGGUGGCGCGCCUCCUCUCCGAGUACGAGGUCUGUCCCCCGCGCAGCCUCCUGACUCUCCUCAUCGAACGCCAAGACUCGCGGGAACCGGUGCUUGAUUUCGUGGGGAAGGACCGCCUCGGCUCCGUAGACGAGGAAGAACGGGGUUUCGUCGGUGGGUUUAGUUGUAGUGGUGCGGAUGGACCACAGUACCGACGGGAGCUCGUCGACCCAACCCCGGUCGCAAGCUUCAAGCUUCUUCUUGAAGCGCCUCACUUUGAGACCCCGCGAGACCUCUACGUUGGCGCGCUCCGCUUGGCCAUUGCUCCGCGGAUGGGACACUGAUGCAUAGCAUAUCUGCAUACCGAGGUUAGCACAGUAAAUCUUGAAAAGCUGACUAGUGAACUACGAACCGUUAUCGAUGAUGAUGCGGUUGGGGACGCUGAAGCGGCUCACGAGGCCCUUAAUGAACUUGACGGCAGACCCGGCUGGGAUGGUGCGCAUGGGCUCCACCUCCGCCCGCUUAAUGAAUUUGUCAAUGGCGACGUAGAGGUAGCGGAAGCCCCCGGACUGGCAGAGGAACCAGUAAUCAUGUUCCUCGACUCGCUGCUGUUACCAAACACAAGAGAAAUGAACAGGAUAGCUAAGAAAAUGAACAAUAGUUCAACGCCCAGAGCGAACUAUCUUGACGAGAAGGAUCUAAAGAAGAUAGCUAAAGAAGACAUGAAGAAGGAUGGAAAAGGACGUCCAGAUGACUAUGAAUUUGGCAAGAUAAAGACAUGGAAAGGGACAAAGGAUAGGAUAUUCUUUAUGGCUCAUGUAAACGCAGGAUCACCUUCAACUUCACUGCAAGUGGUACCAGGAAAGAGUAGGAGACGUCGCAAGCAAACUACAAAACUGCUAAUAGAUGCACCAAAGCUUAUGCGUGAAGGAGCAUCCAGCACCAACAAAGAAUCUGAAGUAGCUUUCGAAAGGAUCAACAAAUUUUUGGAAAAAGGCUUGUGGAAGCAAGACAAUUACGGGCAUUUAGGCAGAUUAAUUUGGCAGGAUGCACUGAUGAUAAGGCUAAUUACAACGAAUUGGCCAGAUAAGGACUUGCAGACCAAACGGCGUCACUGAUUGCUACUUUCGAACAACACAAUGCCUAUCAGCGCAUGUGUUGCAAUAGGAACCUGACAGAAAUUGUUGAAACAGUAGAAGAGGCACCAAUAAGAACGAGAAAAACAAGAAAUGAAGUAGAAGAGAAACUAUAGGGAACGAAAAGAACGAGAACACAAAAGAAGAGAAUUGAAAGCCGAGCCAAAACACAGAAGAAGCAUUCAGAAGACAAGCAAUACCAGGAGCACAGGCACGACGACGACAGCAACACUGAGCACGAGCAUGCAUAUAAGAGACCAACUGCCGUCUCUGCAGAUACGAGGGAACUCGCAAGGAAAGGCUCAUCCUCAGGCAUCAUAACAAGUCAAGAAGCUCGGCUGGACAAGAAACAACAAAUAAGUGCGACAGAGUUUGGUUCAAGCAGCGACAUAUCAGAAGAUGAAGAGAAACAACAAGGAGAAACAACAAAUGAAGUGACCUUCCAUAACCAACUUACCUUCAUAGAACAUGUCUAAACAAAAUGUAGUACAAAAACUCACCAUGUUUCAUACCCUGGUAUUACAAGAAUAGGAAAUACUAGAGCAUGAUGUGCAAAGCCACACUCAAGAUGAAGUUGCUCUUGAUACAGAGGUAGAAGUCUCAGAUAUGACAGUUGAGGACAAGCUCAAAACUAUUUUUCCUACGAAAGAAAUACCAUUGGAUGCAGAGUUGAUCACGACAAUGAUCGACGGACAGGAAAAAAUGCGAGCACUGCUGCAGAAGAACAAGAAGAAACAGAACAGGUGGAAACCAAAAAUACAGGAAAGGUUGUCAGUACAAUGGAAUUAAUUGCUGUAACAGAAGAGCAGUUUUCGGACCACUCACAAAAAGUAGGAGGUAUCCCGAGGCACGAAUAACUAUGGACGUAAAGUUUGGACAAGAGUUAUAAAAGAUCGUACUGCAGGAGCAGGAGAUACACCAUGCAACACCGGUCGAAACCGGAUCGCAUGAAGUAUCUAAGUCACAUCAAGGUUGUUGGGGAACGUUGCAUGGGAAACAAAAAAUUUCCUACGCACACGAAGACCUAUCAUGGUGAUGUCCAUCUA